AGAGUUUGAUCCUGGCUCAGGACGAACGCUGGCGGCACGCCUAACACAUGCAAGUCGAACGGAGAUGAUUUGAGUUUACUUAGAUCAUCUUAGUGGCGGACGGGUGAGUAACACGUGAGCAACCUGCCUUUGAGAGAGGGAUAGCUUCUGGAAACGGAUGGUAAUACCUCAUAACAUACAGAUACCGCAUGGUGACUGUAUCAAAGAUUUAUCACUCAAAGAUGGGCUCGCGUCCGAUUAGCUAGUUGGUGAGGUAACGGCCCACCAAGGCAACGAUCGGUAGCCGGACUGAGAGGUUGAACGGCCACAUUGGGACUGAGACACGGCCCAGACUCCUACGGGAGGCAGCAGUGGGGAAUAUUGCACAAUGGGGGAAACCCUGAUGCAGCGACGCCGCGUGGAGGAAGAAGGUCUUCGGAUUGUAAACUCCUGUUGUUGAGGAAGAUAAUGACGGUACUCAACAAGGAAGUGACGGCUAACUACGUGCCAGCAGCCGCGGUAAAACGUAGGUCACAAGCGUUGUCCGGAAUUACUGGGUGUAAAGGGGGCGCAGGCGGGCGAUCAAGUUGGAAGUGAAAUCCAUGGGCUCAACCCAUGAACUGCUUUCAAAACUGAUUGUCUUGAGUAGUGCAGAGGUAGGCGGAAUUCCCGGUGUAGCGGUGGAAUGCGUAGAUAUCGGGAGGAACACCAGUGGCGAAGGCGGCCUACUGGGCACCAACUGACGCUGAGGCUCGAAAGUGUGGGUAGCAAACAGGAUUAGAUACCCUGGUAGUCCACACCGUAAACGAUGAUUACUAGGUGUUGGAGGAUUGACCCCUUCAGUGCCGCAGUUAACACAAUAAGUAAUCCACCUGGGGAGUACGACCGCAAGGUUGAAACUCAAAGGAAUUGACGGGGGCCCGCACAAGCAGUGGAGUAUGUGGUUUAAUUCGACGCAACGCGAAGAACCUUACCAAGUCUUGACAACCUGCGACGGACAUAGAAAUAUGUUUUUCCUUCGGGACGCAGAGACAGGUGGUGCAUGGUUGUCGUCAGCUCGUGUCGUGAGAUGUUGGGUUAAGUCCCGCAACGAGCGCAACCCUUAUGGUCAGUUACUACGCAAGAGGACUCUGGCCAGACUGCCGUUGACAAAACGGAGGAAGGUGGGGAUGACGUCAAAUCAUCAUGCCCUUAUGACUUGGGCUACACACGUACUACAAUGGCGUUAAACAAAGAGAAGCAAGACCGCGAGGUGGAGCAAAACUCAGAAACAACGUCCCAGUCCGGACUGUAGUCUGCAACCCGACUACACGAAGCUGGAAUCGCUAGUAAUCGCGGAUCAGAAUGCCGCGGUGAAUACGUUCCCGGGUCUUGUACACACCGCCCGUCACACCAUGGGAGUCAGUAACGCCCGAAGUCAGUGACCUAACCGUAAGGAGGGAGCUGCCGAAGGCGGGACCGAUGACUGGGGUGAAGUCGUAACAAGGU
rnacentral:rRNA from 1 species